UACAAAACUUGCCUCAUUCUUCACCACAAAGCCCACAAAAAACACCAAUAACUGUUGAAAAAGUAACCAAAAACCUCAGUAGAACCCUCAACUUUCUCUCCAUCAGCCAUGGCUACCUUUGCAGCGGCAAGGUCUAUCCUCCGCUCCUCCGCCACCGCUCGAUCCGCCGCACCACGUUUCUCCGCCGCACCUAAAACCAAAUCAAACCCAUCUUUUAACUCCACUUUUCACCUUCCUAAACAAAACCCUCUUUCUGCUCCUCGCAUUUUCAGGUCACCUGUUGAGUUGAGCUGCUGUGUUGAAUCUUUGAUGCCGUAUCAUACGGCUACUGCCUCUGCAUUGCUUACUUCUAUGCUUUCCGGGGCGCCUCGCCGCUUCGGUUGGACUCCUGAAGGGAAAGACCAGACUAGAUGAAGAGCCAGCUAUCAGAGACAUAAAGAGUUGGAUUUUGGGUUGAACUUUUUAAGUUUGGUGCUUUUUAAGUAGGCCCUGAUCACCUCCCUUGGCUUGUUACUGGAUGUUUAUCUUGUCAAUCUGAUUGCUGAUGGAUGAUUUUUGUGUUGGGAUGGCGGUGAAUUGGCCAUAAUUUCUUUGGAUUGUGAAUUGGACUUUGUAUACCAGCUACUUGAGGUACUUCUCUUCGGUGAAGGUCGCCGAAGUUCAAGUUAUUUAGUGGGUUAACUCCAUCUGUUCUGUCUGUUCACUAAGAACUUGUAUUCAUGUCAGGUUGAAUGAAAAUUUAGCAGAAUACGUUUUGCUUGUUCGUUUUGAUUCAAUUAUAUGUCAAUGUAUGUUUUAGCUGAGGCCUGAGGCAUAGACAUUCUGCAUUCCAUUGAUGAAUACAACAUAGGACAAUAUAUAAAAUUCUUUUUUGGUUGUCCUUGAA